rnacentral:rRNA from 1 species
GAUGAACGCUGGCGGCGUGCCUAAUACAUGCAAGUCGAGCGAACGGACGAGAAGCUUGCUUCUCUGAUGUUAGCGGCGGACGGGUGAGUAACACGUGGAUAACCUACCUAUAAGACUGGGAUAACUUCGGGAAACCGGAGCUAAUACCGGAUAAUAUUUUGAACCGCAUGGUUCAAAAGUGAAAGACGGUCUUGCUGUCACUUAUAGAUGGAUCCGCGCUGCAUUAGCUAGUUGGUAAGGUAACGGCUUACCAAGGCAACGAUGCAUAGCCGACCUGAGAGGGUGAUCGGCCACACUGGAACUGAGACACGGUCCAGACUCCUACGGGAGGCAGCAGUAGGGAAUCUUCCGCAAUGGGCGAAAGCCUGACGGAGCAACGCCGCGUGAGUGAUGAAGGUCUUCGGAUCGUAAAACUCUGUUAUUAGGGAAGAACAUAUGUGUAAGUAACUGUGCACAUCUUGACGGUACCUAAUCAGAAAGCCACGGCUAACUACGUGCCAGCAGCCGCGGUAAUACGUAGGUGGCAAGCGUUAUCCGGAAUCAUUGGGCGUAAAGCGCGCGUAGGCGGUUUUUUAAGUCUGAUGUGAAAGCCCACGGCUCAACCGUGGAGGGUCAUUGGAAACUGGAAAACUUGAGUGCAGAAGAGGAAAGUGGAAUUCCAUGUGUAGCGGUGAAAUGCGCAGAGAUAUGGAGGAACACCAGUGGCGAAGGCGAUUUUCUGGUCUGUAACUGACGCUGAUGUGCGAAAGCGUGGGGAUCAAACAGGAUUAGAUACCCUGGUAGUCCACGCCGUAAACGAUGAGUGCUAAGUGUUAGGGGGUUUCCGCCCCUUAGUGCUGCAGCUAACGCAUUAAGCACUCCGCCUGGGGAGUACGACCGCAAGGUUGAAACUCAAAGGAAUUGACGGGGACCCGCACAAGCGGUGGAGCAUGUGGUUUAAUUCGAAGCAACGCGAAGAACCUUACCAAAACUUGACAUCCUUUGACAACUCUAGAGAUAGAGCCUUCCCCUUCGGGGGACAAAGUGACAGGUGGUGCAUGGUUGUCGUCAGCUCGUGUCGUGAGAUGUUGGGUUAAGCCCCGCAACGAGCGCAACCCUUAAGCUUAGUUGCCAUCAUUAAGUUGGGCACUCUAAGUUGACUGCCGGUGACAAACCGGAGGAAGGUGGGGAUGACGUCAAAUCAUCAUGCCCCUUAUGAUUUGGGCUACACACGUGCUACAAUGGACAAUACAAAGGGCAGCGAAACCGCGAGGUCAAGCAAAUCCCAUAAAGUUGUUCUCAGUUCGGAUUGUAGUCUGCAACUCGACUACAUGAAGCUGGAAUCGCUAGUAAUCGUAGAUCAGCAUGCUACGGUGAAUACGUUCCCGGGUCU